UACGAAGGGGGCUAGCGUUGUUCGGAAUUACUGGGCGUAAAGCGCACGUAGGCGGCUUUGUAAGUUAGAGGUGAAAGCCCAGGGCUUAACCCCUGGAAUUGCCUUUAAGACUGCAUCGCUAGAAUCGUGGAGAGGUAAGUGGAAUUCCGAGUGUAGAGGUGAAAUUCGUAGAUAUUCGGAAGAACACCAGUGGCGAAGGCGGACUACUGGAC
rnacentral:rRNA from 1 species